UACGUAGGGGGCAAGCGUUGUCCGGAAUCAUUGGGCGUAAAGCGCGUGUAGGCGGUCCGAUAAGUCGGUUGUGAAAGUCCAGGGCUCAACCCUGGGAUGCCGACCGAUACUGUCGGACUAGAGUUCGGAAGAGGCGAGUGGAAUUCCCGGUGUAGCGGUGAAAUGCGCAGAUAUCGGGAGGAACACCAAUGGCGAAGGCAGCUCGCUGGGACGGUACUGACGCUGAGACGCGAAAGCGUGGGGAGCGAACAGG
rnacentral:rRNA from 1 species